rnacentral:rRNA from 1 species
ACUACGGGAGGCUGCAGUGGGGAAUAUUGCGCAAUGGGCGAAAGCCUGACGCAGCGACGCCGCGUGAAGGAUGAAGGUCUUCGGAUCGUAAACCUCUGUCAGCAGGGAAGAACGGUCACUGUGCUAAUCAGCAGUGAAUUGACGGUACCUGCAAAGGAAGCACCGGCUAACUCCGUGCCAGCAGCCGCGGUAAUACGGAGGGUGCGAGCGUUAAUCGGAAUUACUGGGCGUAAAGCGCUCGUAGGCGGUAUGUCAAGUCAAGGGUGAAAUCCCCGCGCUCAACGUGGGAACUGCCUUUGAAACUGGCAAACUGGAGUGUGUGGGAGGAUAGUGGAAUUCCAGGUGUAGGAGUGAAAUCCGUAGAUAUCUGGAGGAACAUCAGUGGCGAAGGCGACUAUCUGGCACAUAACUGACGCUGAGGAGCGAAAGCGUGGGUAGCAAACAGGAUUAGAUACCCCGGUAGUC